UCAGACGAUGCGUCAUGCAUAUCAAUAAGCGGAGGAAAAGAAACUAACAAGGAUUCCCUCAGUAACGGCGAGUGAAGCGGGAAGAGCUCAAAUUUGAAAUCUUGAAAGGUCACCUUUCACGAAUUGUAGUUUAAAGAAGUGUUUUCUGUUACGAUCGUAAUAUAAGUUCUUUGGAAUAGGACAUCACAGAGGGUGAGAAUCCCGUCUAUGAUUGCGAUUUGUAGCUUUGUGAUACACUUUCAAAGAGUCGGGUUGUUUGGGAAUGCAGCCCAAAACGGGAGGUAAAUUUCUUCUAAGGCUAAAUAUUGGCGGGAGACCGAUAGCGAACAAGUACCGUGAGGGAAAGAUGAAAAGAACUUUGAAAAGAGAGUUAAAUAGUACGUGAAAUUGUCAAAAGGGAAGCGUUUAACACCAGUGUUGUUUUCUGAAAAUCAACCUCUGUUAGCUUUAUGCAUGUUUGUUUAGACCUAAUCAGCUAUCUUGCAUGUUCUAUUGUUUGCAGUGGUGCACUUUUCAGUUUACAGGUCAGCAUCAGUUUUUUUUUACCGUAAAAAAGUUAAAGAAAGGUAGCUCAUGGCUCCGGUCGUGAGUGUUAUAGUCUUUUUCCUAUGCGGUAGGAGAGACUGAGGUCUGCAGUGUAGGCUAUUUGGCUAGAUACUCAGGUGCUAUGUGAUACCAUUUCAUAAACAACUUGUUGAUUAUGUUUUGUCUAUUGCAUACUCGCUUGUACUAUCAUACCUACGCUUAGGAUGUUGAAGACUCUACAGAGAUA
rnacentral:rRNA from 1 species